rnacentral:rRNA from 1 species
GACGAACGCUGGCGGCGUGCCUAAUACAUGCAAGUCGAACGGAAAGGCGCUGCUCUUGCGGCGUGCUCGAGUGGCGAACGGGUGUGUAACACGUGUGUAACCUGCCCCUGUAUGUGGGAUAACUUCAGGAAACUCGGGCUCUUAUCGCAUAUGAUCUCUUGCACCAUAGGGUGGGUUGGUAAGAUCCGGCGUUUGGGGAUGGACUCGCGGCUUAUCAGCUUGUUGGUGGGGUAGUGGCUUACCAAGGCUUUGACGGGUAGCCGGCCUGAGAGGGUGACCGGCCACAUUGCGACUGAGGUACGGAGCAGACGGCUACCUGAGGCAGCAGUGGAGAACCUUGCGGAAUAGGGCGAAGCGUGAUACAACGAUGCCGCGUGCGGAAAGACGGGUUUUGGGUUAUAAACCGCUUUCUAAUGUAACGAGCAGUGAGUGACGGUAACGAGUCAGAAAGCCCCGGCUAACUACGUG